AGUUGUUCAGACUUAAUAUAAAUUCUAAAUGAUAAAAAAAUCUCCAUUUUAUCAUAUAUAAAAAUAUUGACAAUCAUUAUGUUAAUUUAAUAUUCUAAAUUUAAUUUUUAAAUGAUCCUGUGGACCUGGGGAAGGUAUUAGCGGGGUGCGUCUUUUCCUUUUACAUACAUUCAUUAAAAUAUUGGUUCUGAUUUUGUAAAAUGGUUCGAACAUAUAUUAGAAAAACUAACAAAGAAAAUAAUGAUAAUCAAAAGGCAAGUAUUCUUCAAAUGCUGAAAGAUAAGAUACUAACUAUGAAUACGAAUUUAAGUUAUGGGAGCAUUAAGAGGUAUAAUAAAUUGUUCAAAAGGAAUGAAGAUUUUCAAGAGCUAUAUCUUCACAGAUCAGUAUUUUCUCCUAUUCAAGAAGCUAAAUUAACAGAUUAUUUAAUUAAAGGAUCAAGAUUAUUUAUGCCCUAAACAAGUUAGAAUUUUAGCUUAUCAAAUGGCCAAGAGGUAUAGUUUACAAGUACCAAAAUCUUGGGAAAUAACUCAAUCAGCUGGUGAAGACUGGUUUGGAGCAUUUAUUAAAAGAAAUCCAACUAUUUCUUUGAGAACACCAAAGGCUACAAGUAUAGCCACAUUGGAUAGAACUGUUUUUGGACCUCUAAAAAAUAUUACAACAGUGCCUUGGAUGCUUGGAUGAGAAUGCAUCCAGGGAAAAGUUUUACUAUAUAUGAUAUCCCUAGAGUAGUAAAGGAUGUCCUUCCAAAAGCCACCUCAGCUUCAAAUAUCCAAAAGGGUUUUGAAUCCUCAGGUAUAUGGCCCCUAAAUCCUUUCAUUUUUAAUGAUGAAAAUUCUAAUCCUUUAUAUUAUAAUAAUAAUAACGAUUUUAAAUGAGAAUUUAAAUUUAUCUGAAAUUAUUUCGCAACCAUCUGUCAGUGAUAGUCCUGUUCCAUCAUCUUCUCACGGGGAAAAAGAUUUUGCUCCAGAAAUUAUUAAUCCCCAUUCAACAAUAUUUAAAAAAACAACACGUAAUCAAAUGACCUCAGCCAUUUUAACCUCUUCACCUUACAGAAAAAUAGCCAGAUCUAGGGCUAAUAAUCUGAAAAAAAAAUCAAACCAAUAAUAAAAAAAGUUUAAAUAUGAAUGCUGGCAAAAAAGAAUUUUGUUUAGUGUGCCACAAAAACUAUCAAACUCACCACCAUAAUGAAGAUUGGUUCCAAUGCCGUAAUUUUCAUUUAUGGGCACAUGGAUCAUGUUGUGAUUUUAAUCCAUUUUUUAUAUGUAAUAAAUGUGUUGUAUGUUAAUAUUUU